UUUUCUUGUUGGUGGGGUAAUGGCCUACCAAGGCGACGACGGGUAGCCGGCCUGAGAGGGCGACCGGCCACACUGGGACUGAGACACGGCCCAGACUCCUACGGGAGGCAGCAGUGGGGAAUAUUGCACAAUGGGCGAAAGCCUGAUGCAGCGACGCCGCGUGAGGGAUGACGGCCUUCGGGUUGUAAACCUCUUUCAGCAGGGAAGAAGCGAAAGUGACGGUACCUGCAGAAGAAGCGCCGGCUAACUACGUGCCAGCAGCCGCGGUAAUACGUAGGGCGCAAGCGUUGUCCGGAAUUAUUGGGCGUAAAGAGCUCGUAGGCGGCUUGUCACGUCGGAUGUGAAAGCCCGAGGCUUAACCUCGGGUCUGCAUUCGAUACGGGCUAGCUAGAGUGUGGUAGGGGAGAUCGGAAUUCCUGGUGUAGCGGUGAAAUGCGCAGAUAUCAGGAGGAACACCGGUGGCGAAGGCGGAUCUCUGGGCCAUUACUGACGCUGAGGAGCGAAAGCGUGGGGAGCGAACAGGAUUAGAUACCCUGGUAGUCCACGCCGUAAACGUUGGGAACUAGGUGUUGGCGACAUCCACGUCGUCGUCCGCAGCUACGCAUUU
rnacentral:rRNA from 2 species